GGGAGCAUGAGACACACUGGGGCCGACCCAGACCCCAACCACCCUGCCAUCCACAGCCUAAGACAGAGUCUCCCCGGCCAACCCACCACCUGCACGCAGGAAAAGUAAAUGCUUGUUUUGAGCCAUUGAGUUUUGGGGCGCUUUGUUAUGCAGCAUUAUUGUAGCAAUAGCUGACUGAUGUAGUCCUUCCGGAAUUUUCUCCCAGCGUAUAUAACGUCUUUAGGUGAGAGAAAGUUCUGCAGUCUCCACUGUUUACUCUUCUGACAUCCAAGGGAGCAGGAUGAACCCUAAAAUCUUCUCUUCUCCUUCAAGGACCCCUCUUCUUGAACGGCUUUGCAAAAUUCAUCGAUGACAUUCCUUUCUUGGUUAAUGUGUUCACCCGAAAAUACCUACUGAGGUCCCAUUAGGGGCGAGGACCCAGGUCCCGAUUACAAUGUCACUUCCGUUCUUGUAAAGUGACUUCAGCCCGAGAUACUGAAGAGCAAGCCUUGAGCCCACUCAACCAUUCGUCAUCAGGGAUAUUCUCCACGUCAGAAUUCGAGACCACUAGAGAUCAGGCGGAGGAACAUUCCACUGUGUGCACGGCCCACGCUCUGCUUACCCGUUCGCCCCCCUAAACGGACACCCGAGUUGCUUCCGCCCCUCGGCUCCCGUGAGAACACGGGUGUGCCGACGCCUCUUCCAGACCUUGCUUUGCACUUAUUUGGGGGUUCCCGCUCAGCGUUGUGUCCUCAAGACCUGAGGCGCCCAAGGGUGCUGACGGGCCGGACGCCUGCCGAGGCUGUUACCGCCAAGUUUCAGAACCACCUGUGAGAGCUCCUGCUCCCUCAGCGAAGGAGAAAGUAAGACAGUUGGAAGUGACUUUCCCAAAGCCACGUAAAGAGUGGCAGAACCCAGACGCUGCAGCAAGUCUGUCCCACCCCGGGAGUGGGGGGCAGGGGGCCGCGGCUCGUGCACCCACCGCUGUUCCUUGCUAAUUGAAACUUCGGGAGGACCCAUGACCGUGCAUGUGUCAAAGCCCAAAGGGUGCACACCACAGAGGUGGCGUCCGAGGCUGCAGAUGUAAAGAGUGGCUCCAGACGUUGGUGGCCCCCAGCGUGGGCUGCAGGCGGGGCCACGGAGUCUGGCGGGGUUACCCUCACUGCUCCACGAGACACACACUCCCGCUCUACAGGCUUUUUGUCCCCUAGACCCUCACUCUUAUUUCCCAGGGGAGGAACCAAAGCCCAGGGGGAGCGUCAGGCCCACGGGUGAGGCCCCUGCUGACGCCACGCCUCCCGUGAGACUUGCCCACCAGGCACUGGGUCGGCCCGCGGGGAGACGCGCUCCAGGGCUUCCGUGGAAGGGAACAGACCCUGGCGUAAACAGCACCUCCCAGCCAGGUCCUCUCUUUCCCACCAAGAGGUGGAGGCCACGCCGUGUGGGAGGGGGGCGUGCACGCGGAAGACCUCCUGGGUUUACUCUGGCUGCAGACCAGCGGGAAAGACGAUGCUCCCAGCACCUUGACCUUGCGGAGUUCCUGAGCUGCAGGAUGAGGCAGCGGGGGGUGAUCUGGUCUUGGCCCCAGGAGGCCGGCCCAGAGGUCAACAUCAAGGGGGAGCGCACAGACCCCGUGAACCCGGCGAGGAAGGGCUGGCCCCAGCUUUCAUCUGGAGCCGCUCUUGUCAUUGUUACCACGGGUCGGAGCCCAUCCGUCCAGGGACCACCGUGACUCCUCGGGUCGCGGAAUUCUUUUGUUUGGUACCUGAACAAAUAAACUACAUUUCUUUGGAAUUUCCACCCCUCCAUCAAAGUCCUUUCACAGCUGUUGUUGGAGAAAAGCUGCAAUGUUGCCAUUGUCUUUUGAGCUUUAGUGCAGCAAGGUGCACGCAGGGAGCUGGGGGGGCCGAGCAGGCGAGCUGGUGAGACUCCCCCCAGUCCCCCGGCGUCCCCAUUCUGCUGGGAUGGGGUGGUGCUAAGUUUCCCCCCAGGAGUGUGCCGGGUGGCCCGCGAAUGGACGCUCUUAAAUGUGAACGGUUAGGCAUUUAUUUCAGUCGGUUUAAAACAAAUGUCAUCUCUG